rnacentral:snRNA from 1 species
GUGCUUGCUUCAGCAGCACAUACACUAAAAUUGGAAAAUACAGAGAAGAUUAGCAUGGCCCUUGCAGAAGGAUGACACACAAAUUCAUGAAGUGUUCCAAAUUUUU